rnacentral:rRNA from 1 species
GCCGGUGGCUAUAGCGCCGGGGCCACACCUGUUCCCAUCUCGAACACAGUAGUUAAGCUUAUCUGCGCCGAUGAUACUCGGUGGGCGACUGCCCGGGAAAGUAGGACGUCGCCAGCU